AUGUCAACUCCUGCGUAUUUGAAUUUUUCAAACAGACUGCCCAGCACACGUAACAAAGUCAGCUUUGUGAAAGGAGCAGCUAUUACUCUUCACCCAAACGCGGAAAUUUAUGACUCCCUGGGCUACACGGCCGGCCGGGUCCGACAGGGUCGACCGGCCAGGAGUGAGCUCGAGGAAGUGCCCUCCUCGCCGCUUCUCCCGCUGCUCCAGCGUGCGCAAUCCACCUGUUGCUUUCCGCCCCGGAUUCUCAUUUCACCCCCGGACUCCCAGCUCCCCAGGCAAAGCCGCGGCCAGCGGAAAGUUCCGGCGGGCCCCAGUGCUCAGGCUGCACCUUACAAUAACAGAAGAAAGUCCUGGAGGCCAAGAGAGGUGACCCAGAACUCCCCAAUUCAUCUGAGCUACAAGGAUCUGUGAAUGUAGGUGAGUUGGAAAUCUGUAUAUCAAGAAGUGCUUGUGCUUGAUUUUCUAUGACAGAUUUUCUCACUGCAGUCCAAAACUUGGGGUUGAAAGUGUGUACUUAUGUUAAAUACUCUGAUUUAGCAUAUUUAACAUAGCUAUGUUAACAUAACUUUAAUGAUUAUAUCUGAAAUAUUCUUAAACCUGCUGCAUGCUUCAUAUUGGCAUGUAGAUUUUGUAUGUGGAAUUAAUUCCAGAGCAGCUAUUGCAACCAAGAAAAGGUGUGUGUCUUGAAGACCCAUGAGAAGGAAGACAUUAAAGAUCUCUUUUUGUUUUUGAAAACCCAUAUUUAUAACAUGCAGAUCAGUAAUGUCCUAUGGUUUAGUACCAUAUGUAAUCACAGAUAU
rnacentral:lncRNA from 1 species